UCGAACGUCGCUUCAGUGCUUGCACUGAAGCGUAGUGGCGGACGGCUGAGUAACACGUAGGAACCUACCCCAAGGUAAGGAAUAACCCCGGGAAACCGGGGGUAAUACUUUAUGGUCCCCGUUUCGGCGGGGUAAAGGGCAUAACUGCUCGCCAUGGGAGGGGCCUGCGGCCUAUCAGGUAGUUGGUGGGGUAAUUGCCUACCAAGCCUAUGACGGGUAGCUGACCUUAUGAGGGUGAUCAGCCAGAGGAGGACUGAGAUACGGCCUCCACACCUACGGGUGGCAGCAAUCAAGAAUCGUUGGCAAUGGGCGAAAGCCUGACCACGCGACGCCGCGUGUAGGAUGAAGCCUUUCGGGGUGUAAACUACUGUGGCAGGGGAAGAAGCCUUCGGGUUGACGGUACCCUGCUAGAAAGUGGACGCUAACUUCGUGCCAGAAGCGUCGGUGAUACGGGGUCCACAAACGUUAUCCGGUGUAACUGGGUGUAAAGGGUCUGUAGGCGGUCUUCCAAGUUACUUUUCAAAUACCUCUGCUCACCAGAGGAAAGGGAAGUAAGACUGUUGGACUAGAGUUUUUUUUAGGGAAAUCGGAAUUUAUGGAGGAGUAGUGAAAUGCGUUGAUACCAUAAAGAACACCAAUGGCGAAGGCAGAUUUCUGGAAAAUAACUGACGCUGAGAGACGAAAGCUAGGGGAGCGAACCGGAUUAGAGACCCGGGUAGUCCUAGCCCUAAACGAUGCUCGCUAGUUGCAUUCUAUGUUGAUUUUCAGUGUAGGGUGUGGCGAAGCUAACGCGUUAAGCGAGCCACCUGGGGAGUACGACCGCAAGGUUGAAACUCAAAGGAAUUGGCGGGGAGACACACAACUAGUGGAACAUGUGGUUUAAUUCGAGACGAACCGAAGAACCUCACCAGGGUUUGACAUAUAGAUGCAUCCCGGCAGAAACGUCGGGAGCCUUCGAGGGUUCUAUACAGCUGCUGCAUGGCUAUCGUCAGUUCGUUCCGUGAGGAGUGCCCUUAAGUGGGACAACGAACGUAACCUUUGCACCAUGUUAUAUUUGUCAUGGUGGACUGCCCGCGCUUUGCGCGGGAGGAAGGAGAAGCAGACGUUAAGUCAGCAUGGCGCUUACGCCCUGGGCUACACACAUGUUACAAUGAGUACGACAAAGGGUUGCUAAAUGGAAACAUGGAGCUAAUCCCAUAAACGUGCUCUCAGUGGGGAUAGAGGUCUGAAACUCGACCUCUUGAACGCGGAAUUAGUAGUAAUCGUGGGUCAGCUAAACCGCGGUGAAUACGUUCUUGUCUCUUGCACACACUGCCCGUCAAGCCAACAAAGUCGGUAGUACCCGAAGGAUCACAUUUGGGUACGAGGGUAA
rnacentral:rRNA from 1 species